rnacentral:lncRNA from 1 species
UCUUAAUUAAAAAUUAAUUUAAAAUCUUAUUAAGCCUCUUUGGCCUUAGCUAUUCUGAGAAAAAAAAAAAACAAAAAACAAAAAACAAAAAAAACCAAAAAAACCAGCACUAGUUUUUCAGAAAACAGUUGUGUUUAAUAACAUGGUAAUUUGUCACAAAUUUCUGCCCUUGCCCAUUCCAAGGACAAAAUGAAGUUUAACACUGAGAUAGUUAGAAAACAUUUUACCUCAUACAUUUUAACACUGCCUUUUCCCAGUAUAGUGCUGGGCUUAGGUAUUCUAAUUUUAUCUUCAGUAAUUGGUUCCUAAUUUUAUUGUUGUGGCUGUUGCUCCCUGAGGGCGUUUGGAAAUGAGAUUCAGCAUUUAAAAAAAAAACCCUAGCUGAAACAGACUUUUAAUAAUGAAAUCAAUGAAAGAAGCAUUCCUAACUAUAAAACUCGAGCAUAGAUACAUAAAUAAUUGUUACAAUUUGUUUAGUGCUGAUAUUCCACCCUGUUGCAUUUAACCAUUUUUAUUGUCCUGGGGAUAUUCUGCGCAGAUCUGCAAAACCCCAUUCGGAAUGGCUGAUGGAUGGCAUUUUUUCAACCAAAGCGUUUUUCAGAUGUGGUACAGUCCACAGGAAGCCUUUUGAAAUAGAAGAGGACUGUGGCAGCCAGCACAGCAUUGUGGUGUUAUGACCAAGGAGCUGUUUUGAAGAAUGAGAGAUGUUUCUUCUGAUAGAGAAAUAGAUGAUACUUACCCUUCACUUCUGUGGGGAAGCUGGUGGCUCCAGAUGGGAUGAGCUCCCUAUCUGUUUCAAAAACAAAAACAAGAAGUCCCAUCAUUCUGUCUUUCCUUGGGCCAUAAAAACAAGGCAAGCUAGUGCUGUAUUGCUUUGGCUGUAG